rnacentral:rRNA from 1 species
AGUGAACGCUGGCGGUAGGCCUAACACAUGCAAGUCGAACGGCAGCACAGUAAGAGCUUGCUCUUACGGGUUGCGAGUGGCGGACGGGUGAGGAAUACAUCGGAAUCUACUUUUUCGAGGGGGAUAACGUAGGGAAACUUACGCUAAUACCGCAUACGACCUACGGGUGAAAGCAGGGGAUCUUCGGACCUUGCGCGAUUGAAUGAGCCGAUGUCGGAUUAGCUAGUUGGCGGGGUAAAGGCCCACCAAGGCGACGAUCCGUAGCUGGUCUGAGAGGAUGAUCAGCCACACUGGAACUGAGACACGGUCCAGACUCCUACGGGAGGCAGCAGUGGGGAAUAUUGGACAAUGGGCGCAAGCCUGAUCCAGCCAUACCGCGUGGGUGAAGAAGGCCUUCGGGUUGGAAAGCCCUUUUGUUGGGAAAGAAAAGCAGCAGGUUAAUACCCCGCUGUUCUGACGGUACCCAAAGAAUAAGCACCGGCUAACUUCGUG